UUCAACGGAGAGUUUGAUCCUGGCUCAGGACGAACGCUGGCGGCGUGCUUAACACAUGCAAGUCGAGCGGUAAGGCCCUUCGGGGUACACGAGCGGCGAACGGGUGAGUA
rnacentral:rRNA from 1 species